GGAGCUUGCUCUGUCUGGAUCAGUGUCGAACGGGUGAGUAACACGUGAGUAACCUGCCCCAGACUCUGGAAUAAGCGCUGGAAACGGCGUCUAAUACCGGAUACGAGACGGAGAGGCAUCUCUACCGUCUGGAAAGUUUUUCGGUCUGGGAUGGACUCGCGGCCUAUCAGCUUGUUGGUGAGGUAAUGGCUCACCAAGGCAACGACGGGUAGCCGGCCUGAGAGGGCGACCGGCCACACUGGGACUGAGACACGGCCCAGACUCCUACGGGAGGCAGCAGUGGGGAAUAUUGCACAAUGGGCGAAAGCCUGAUGCAGCGACGCCGCGUGAGGGAUGACGGCCUUCGGGUUGUAAACCUCUUUCAGCAGGGAAGAAGCGAAAGUGACGGUACCUGCAGAAGAAGCACCGGCUAACUACGUGCCAGCAGCCGCGGUAAUACGUAGGGUGCGAGCGUUGUCCGGAAUUAUUGGGCGUAAAGAGCUUGUAGGCGGUCUGUCGCGUCUGCUGUGAAAAUCCGGGGCUCAACCCCGGACUUGCAGUGGGUACGGGCAGACUAGAGUGUGGUAGGGGAGACUGGAAUUCCUGGUGUAGCGGUGAAAUGCGCAGAUAUCAGGAGGAACACCGAUGGCGAAGGCAGGUCUCUGGGCCACUACUGACGCUGAGAAGCGAAAGCAUGGGGAGCGAACAGGAUUAGAUACCCUGGUAGUCCAUGCCGUAAACGUUGGGCGCUAGGUGUGGGACUCAUUCCACGAGUUCCGUGCCGCAGCUAACGCAUUAAGCGCCCCGCCUGGGGAGUACGGCCGCAAGGCUAAAACUCAAAGGAAUUGACGGGGGCCCGCACAAGCGGCGGAGCAUGCGGAUUAAUUCGAUGCAACGCGAAGAACCUUACCAAGGCU
rnacentral:rRNA from 1 species